rnacentral:rRNA from 1 species
CCUACGGUGGCUGCAGUGAGGAAUAUUGGUCAAUGGGCGCUAGCCUGAACCAGCCAAGUAGCGUGAAGGAUGACUGCCCUAUGGGUUGUAAACUUCUUUUAUAUGGGAAUAAAGUGCAGUCUGUAUACUGCUUUGCAUGUACCUUCUGAAUAAGGAUCGGCUAACUCCGUGCCAGCAGCCGCGGUAAUACGGAGGAUCCGAGCGUUAUCCGGAUUUAUUGGGUUUAAAGGGUGCGUAGGCGGACUGUUAAGUCAGCGGUAAAAGCCCGGGGCUCAACCCCGGCGGGCCGUUGAAACUGGCUGGCUUGAGAGGGCGAGAGGUAUGCGGAAUGCGCAGUGUAGCGGUGAAAUGCUUAGAUAUUGCGCAGAACUCCGAUUGCGAAGGCAGCAUACCGGCGGCGAUCUGACGCUGAGGCACGAAAGCGUGGGUAUCGAACAGGAUUAGAUACCCUUGUAGUC